GCGAGGACUGCUCCGGGUGUCCCGACUGUAGCCGCGGAGCGCGGGACUGUGCAGUGGGAACUGGUGGGGCGUUUCCGUUGUCGGCGUCUGGCUGGAGGUCAGAGUUCCAAAGGGAGAAAUGCUUCUACCUGGAGAAACAACGAUUCUAUUGAAGUGUAAGUUAAGACUGCCACCUGGUCACUUGGGCUCCUCGUGCCUCUGAAUUAACAGGCAAACAAGGGAGUUACUGUGCUGGCUGUGGUGAUUGACACUGAUGAUCCAAGGAGAAACUGGACUACUACUCUACAGUGAAGGAAGACGAAGAAGGAGAGUGAACACUUCUCUUUAAGGCCAUGCUGUGGAAGUCGCACACAUCACUUCUACUAAUAGCCCAUUGACCACAACAUGGUCAUAUGAUCUCAACUACCUGGAAGGGGUUCUUGCAAGUGUGAUCUUUAUCUGGGAAGCCAUGUGUCCAACUAAGAAUAUUAUUGCUGUGGAAGAAGAGGAGAAUAGAUUUGAGGAAAAUAACCAUAUGAGGAGCCAUUUUCAAACAGCCAAAAUUGUAUCAGGUACAGAAGGUGACAGAUAUUCUAAUGGCACAUUUUCUCUGAAUGUCCCACUGAUGAAAGCAGGAAUUCUUGCCCGGUUUAAGUUUUUACAAGCCAAACUGAUGAUGGAUUUCAGGAAUACUUCUGUCAUUUACUGGAAUUAUUCACCUGGAAUGAUGAUGCUUAGGGCCAGAGGUGGAAAAUAUUAAGGUUGAUGUCGUGUCAGAAGUGGAUCUGAAGUGCUCUCACUUUUGUGGAGCUGCAUCUCCUGGAAAUGGGUUUGGUACCAACAUGAGCCCCGUUGUGUGCUCAGCCCCUUCUAUGGACAGCCAACUCCUCCAGUCAUGGGACAUCUCUGGCUUGGACCUCCCUUGCUUUGGUUGACAUCAGUGCCUUUAUUUGGUGUAGCAGCUUUCAUCAUUAAAGAAGAGGUUUCUCUUAGGAAAGCAGGAAACUCCUUGGCUAUGGCACCCAUGUGACUUUUGCUGUAGGAGAAUAUUAUCUCAGUAGAUAUGUGAGUAUUGUGAAUUUUGGAUGGGAUUCUCUCAGUAAAAAUUUCAACUUAGACAAACUUUGCUAUGGGUUAAUCUGCACAUGAGGUAAAGGCUGUUGCUAAGGCACAUCUUGGAAGCCAAAGUUGCAAAAUUGAUGGGCAUAGAUCCAGCAUUUAAGAGCCAUUAGGGUGCUCACCACUUCAGGAAGCAUCCUGUGAUAGGAUAAGUUGGUCACAAAACUGGUUAUAUCCAUGCUGUCACCCAUCAACCUCAAGAGAACUUUCAUGUAAUGAAGUACACUGUAAAAAACAAUCACACAAGCCCCAAUACCCAGGCACAUCAUACUUAGAUAUUAGUUUGGCUCCAAGGAACCCAAAGAUUAGCUAACCCUGUUAAUGUGCAUAUAAUAAACCCUAUUGUAAUUCUAAGUUUCAUGCUUUUCUUUACCAUGGGACUUUCAUUUUCAAAAGCUUCCUGAGAAGUUUCUUCCUCAGGAACUCAGCUUGGUUUUACACUUCAGAACUAUGCUCUUUCCUGUUAUAAACUUUUGUCCCAGUGUACUGAUAAUACUAAAGACAAUUUAAAAUGAUAAUGACCAGUUUGGAGCUCAUUUGAACUUCCAAAACUUGUGUUUUUGCACACUAGAUUUGAGAACCACAAACCAGGUAACUUGAAGGCAAUUUUUAAUUUCUAAAGAAACAGGCAUGCCAUCUUCCAUCACACCUGCAUAAAAACGAUGUUUCUGGAAGCUAAAAAUAUUUAUAUGCACACACACACACAAUGCAGCAAAAUCUUACUAAGUUUGUUUCAUGUCCUGAGAGCUUGGCUUGGCAACUGUCAGGUUGGCCAGUAUAUUGCUGGACAGAAAUACAGGUCCACUUGUGACUGGGUCCUAUAAAACUAGUACUAGCAUCAGGGCAAUUACAUCUGCCAUUAGAAGGAAAUUUCCACUUAGAUAAGAUGAUCUAAGAAGAGUACUUUAAACAAAGUCUCCAAAAUUCCAAAGUAGCUUUAUUGAAAUUUUCAUUGCUAAAAGCUAAGGAAAAUUAAGAUAUAAGAGGUAUCUAAAAUAAAAGACUAUACAAAAGUCUGUUAAGGUAAUGCCUUUAUAGACACCUCAAUACCCACCUUCAAAGGAGGGCCUUAUAUGAACAGCUUCUAGAGUUAAUGAGACUCCAAGUGAUUUUUCUGGUAAACUGCUAUGUUAUUCCCUUAGUGAAGGGGAAAGUAAAAUUAAAAAUGAAUGGAGUUAUUUAAUACUGCCAGAAAUAUUUACUGUUUUCCCUGGCUGAAACUUGAUAAGAUACUUGAAAGGAUCUAGUAAUUUAUGAUCAGAAGUUUGGCCAAAUUGGAAACUGGUAUUUGUCACCUGACAGGAAAUUUUUUAUUGGCCUUCCUCCCUAAUUCAAAUAAAACUAUGUACCUAGAGGGAAAUAAGUAUAUGGAUGACACAGGAGAAAAGGUAAAUCAACCUAUGAUGCCAUUUAAGUUACAACCUAGUAUCUGAUGAAUUGAGAGCAAGUGCCCUUAUCUUACAAUAAUUUACAAAACUGGAAAUGCAACUCUAGAGGCAGUUCUGAUUCCACCUAUUCUUUUCCCAUACCAAAAACUUCCCCUAUUUAUCUCAAAAAGAUUGUAACAUCUCCAGGAACUAUUAUCUAGACUGUUACCAAUUCCUAAGACUGAAGAAAAAAAGAAAAAAGAGUCAAACAACUAAAGAAACACCUUUACCCAAAUCCAGCAUCUUGUGUGUCUUUUCCACAAAUAUUAGUUGACAAAAGCAUUAGACAUCUAAGCAGGUAACCAUAAUUUAUUUUAUCUGCCAGAAGCACAGCUAGGAUUCAACUAUUUAUUUUUUCAUGAGUAAGAUUUUCAUAUAAAGUAAUUCUAAAUAAAAUAGAAACUAACCCAAAUGAAU